CACGGGGGGAGCAAGCGUUGUUCGGAAUCACUGGGCGUAAAGGGCGCGUAGGCGGUUCGUUAAGUCCUGUGUGAAAUCCCCCGGCUCAACUGGGGAACUGCUCAGGAAACUAGCGGGCUUGAGUUCGGGAGAGGGAAGCGGAAUUCCGGGUGUAGCGGUGAAAUGCGUAGAUAUCCGGAGGAACACCGGUGGCGAAGGCGGCUUCCUGGACCGACACUGACGCUGAGGCGCGAAAGCUAGGGGAGCAAACGGG
rnacentral:rRNA from 1 species